rnacentral:lncRNA from 1 species
GAUUAUUUACUUUAAUUUCUUUUCUGUUUCUUCUAGUUGCCUAAGGCCUGUGAUAGCAGGAUAUGUGGAGAGAGUUCUGAAGUAAAAUACAAAAAACUUGCAUGCUGAAUUCCCGUAGUAGCUGACUAUUUGCAAAGGGGUGCCUUCAUUCUGCCUCCAGGACGUCUGAGCCCAGACGUCUCGCCCAGCCUGGCAGCAGGAAGCCUUGAUGUAGCCUCGAAGAUGAGAGAAGGCAGCUGCAGAUGAAUGAAUGCAUGAAACUGGAGAGUGAUGCAGACAGAAGAGGAAUCUGCCUGUAACCAUCUUGUGGGGUUCUGUUGUUUUGUCUUGGUCAAAUAACAGCC